ACGGGGGGGGCAAGCGUUGUUCGGAAUUACUGGGCGUAAAGGGCGCGUAGGCGGCUUUUCAAGUCGGGCGUGAAAUCUCCAGGCUUAACCUGGAAGGGUCGUUCGAUACUGUUAAGCUAGAGUGUGGAAGAGGCUACUGGAAUUCCGUGUGUAGCGGUGAAAUGCGUAGAUAUACGGAGGAACACCUGCGGCGAAGGCGGGUUGCUGGGCUGACACUGACGCUGAUGCGCGAAAGCUAGGGGAGCGAACGGGA
rnacentral:rRNA from 1 species